AAAAAAAACAGAUCAAAAGUGGAAUCUCAAAGAACAAAAACUGCCAUUUAGUACAAGCGGAGACACUCAGUGUGGAAGACUUUUCUUUCUGUCCCCCAAACAGGCUCAUCCACAAAGAAUGUCGUGCCCUGAACUUUUGUUGCACUCGUCAAGGAAAUGACCCUGUGCUGCGUGGAACCGGAUUCAUCCAGUGUAUCUCUUGCCGGCAGUUGUAUGGCAGUGAUGUUGUAAGCAAGUAAUCUGCUUCAUGACCCAUGCUGUUAUAAUGAGGGCUGAGCCAACUAAACUUUGAGGACUUCUCAUGUGUUACCGAGGUGAGUCCACUACUAACAAUAUCAGGGUUCUUUUGAAAAUAUAACCCAUUUGUGUUUGAGCCUGUCGAGUUUCAGAGGAAUUUCUUAAUCCUGUGAAAACCAUCUGUAAUAGUCCCACACACAUUCCUGCUAAUACAAACACACAAGUAAUGUGACACACUUCCUUUCUCGAAAUGGUUGAGAGAGUGAAGAAGGCGAUGUGGCGAAUGGCGAAGAACAGGAGAGGAGCUGGAGAAGAAGAAACACACACAGAAGAAGAGGGAGGACAAAGGAAACACAAGGGACAUCUUUCCAACCAAAAACAAAGUGCUGCCAUUUGGCUGUUGUUUGACCCUUGGUGGCUGGAAACAUCCUAACACAUCCAUUGCAGCAGCAUGUGGCUCACCAAACAGCUCUACUACAUGUGAUCAAAUCUGAUUGCAAAAAAUGACUCAUGUCAUCAGAAAGUAAAUCGCUCUUACGAAUAGAUGGGACAGGACACAAGUAAUCACACAGAAGUCCUCUUUCGUGUGAUGACUACAGCCCUGCGUGUGCUGCAUCUUGCUUCUCCUGCAGGGUGAGGACUCCUUCAAAAGUGUGGUUUAUUUUUAGGGAGCUUCACAUCCGCUGCCACUGGCUAAUAAGCAAGCUGAGCAGAGCUGCCUGAAACCAACCUGAAGUAAAUUGAACAUUGGUCAAAGCUCAACAUGAGGUUGGAUGAGAGGUUUGAGGAAGCUUGCAGGGAUUGUCUAGAGGCAGUUCACAGCUUUCAAAGAAUAAAAGGGAAUUCAUUUGGUGGAA